rnacentral:sRNA from 1 species
AUGUUGUUCACUCGUGAGGAUGAAAUUAGUGGAGUAGAUAACGUAGAGCAUGGAGACGAUGAGGAAGAACCAAAUGAGGGUGUUUCUCAAGCCUAUUUGUGGUCUCAUUUGGUACCAAUGUGGUAACUUUUUGUUAGUGUCUUCAACUUUGAUGUUCUUGCUUCCCAUGCUUUCAGUUCAAGGUGUGGCCAAGGAGAGGAGAAAGGUUGGGUUGAGAAUUGUUUGGAUCUAAGAGAUGGUGAGAGGGGCAUGGUAUUUAAAGUAUGUUAAGAAACGGAACAAAAGUUUGAACGCGGAUAACAUAAAGACAUGGUUGAAAUUUGCAUCUUAGGUGGAACUGUGGAAGCCUUGUGAUUUGUGAACUGUGAUUGUGAUUAAUCUGAGGCCAUUAGUUUUUUGCAUUCAUAUGAAGUUAUGAACCAUUGAAUUGGUUACGAUUUGGAAUAUGAUUUUGUACAACACAUUCCUUGCAAUUUUUAUUAUUAUACAAAUAUGAGAGAGGGAAGAUGGAGGUGCUAGUGAGUGGUGACUGACUAGCACCACUCAAAAAAUUGUUCUUUUAGAUUAGAUUAAAAUUGUUAUUUUUCUCUCUUCCAAUAUUGAAGCUGUAUGUACAAUCUUGUUUUGGGGUUGUACAUAUUUCUCAUCUUUAUAUUUUUAUUGUAAUAAUAAAGAAAGGGACAAUAUAAGAUUGGGCUGCCUAGAUUAACAUUGAUGGUUCCUUCUAGGUAAUAUAUGAUGCUACUGUAGUCAGACUUUGUACUGGUCACUAAGAUGAAGUCAGUUCAUAUAUUGCUUGUAGUGUACUUUGUUACUUGCAUAUAGUCUAAGUCUAUAUUGCCUUAGAUUUAAAUAAAGAGGAAUUUGGUACAUUUUGUUUGAUACCUUUGGAUUAUAUCAACAUCAGUCAUGUUUAUUAUUGGCUUUAUAUACCCUGCUUUUUUUGUUUUGCAUAAUGGCGCCAUGUGGUGCCAGUUGUUGUUAUGGAACCUUGCUAAUUGUUUUUGGUAUGUUGCUUAUAAUGUUACUAAAUCAAAUUGUGUAUGAGUUUGGAAUUGAUCGCUAAGAAAGUUUGAAAUCACAAUAACAGGAUUCCCAAGCAAGAGCAGCCAGGACCACAAGCAAGAUGAGAGCUGGAAGUUCGAAAUCAAAAAGAGAUUCAAUUGUAGAGCAAGGGAUUCCUAUCGAGCAGCCAGGAACAAAGAGAUUCAAUUGUUCAAGGAAUUCUUACGAGGUGUAUUCUAUAGUGAUGAUCUAGGUUCUAGAGACAAAAUUGCCGAUUGCCAACUUUUUUACUAACCUACUAUUGUUGUGGAAUGGGGUCAACCACCAAUAGUGAGCUUUAGAUAGGACCCUGUUAAAUAUAUGUAAAUGACAAGCUUGAAUCUGAAUUAUGUUUCUGUUGUUUAAGCUACUGUUUUCUUGAUAUGGCAUACGAGAUUGUUGGAACUCUAUCAGUGUUGAUAUUUAGUGUCCUAAGUUUAUUAUACCGUCAGUCCCAAGAUAGGAGGAAGGAGGGUUGUGAAUGGUUGAUUUGGAUAAGUAAAUUCUCCUUCUGAGCUUAUAAACUGCUGGUUAUCCCAUCAGAUCAGUUACUAAAUGGGGUUUUGUUUACCAAAAAAAAAAAAAAAAUACUAAACGGGGUUUUCGGUUUCAAGUCCAGGCGACACCAUGUCUCAAUUUAAUUUUCAGUUAUUGUUUAAAACUGUACUAUUUUUAUAAAAAACUAAAUGGGGUUGUUCCUAAACAACUAUUCUCCCUUUCAAGCUAACGUGCAAGAGAUUCUCCAAAAAUAUUGCUAAGUGCUAUGAGAAGCAUCAAGCUGCCAGGCAAGGAUUUAACAUUCUUGAACUCACAAUUUCGGAGCAUAGAUGGUAGAGGCUUGCUUCGGCCUUAAGGUACAGUCAGUUAAUUGCGAUUCUGAGCCUGCAUAGCCUGCUGGUUUCAGAAAUUAUGAAGGUAAAAAUAAUAAAUGGCUAGUCUAGUAUUAACUAGUAACCCAGCUUGUGGAUUGCGGUCCUUUUGGUUAGGCUAAGGGCUAAGGCUGUUUAAGCAGCUCUCAUCUUGGCUUCUACUACUCUUGGCAUUGUCUUCCAUUUAUUAAAAAAUGUCUAGUACCAAAAUAUUGUCAUUGACUAUAUCAUUCCCUUAACUGGAACAAUAUAACACUUGCAACAAUCUAGCAUUGCAAUUCCACCACCAUGCACAUAUAGAAACUAAUAUAUAAAAAUAAAAAGUAAUCUUGCAUUAAAAACUUUUAUCAUUUGCAUAUAAUUAGUCUUUAACUAGAAGUUACUCAAACAUAUACAAAAUUUAUCAUGUUUGAGUAAUUUUAUUCGUUACAAAAGCUUUAGAAAAUGACAGCUAUAAUUAAUGUUUGGCUAUGCAAUCCCUUGUCCAAAUUUUCAGCUAUGUUAUCUAUAAAAUUUUCAAGUCAAAUAUACUAUCUAAGAGGUUCCUCCACCUCCACUGUGCAAUAAUGAUCAAAAUACUGUCCAAAAAACUGUCCAAAGAUGCUGUCCAUGAGCUGUGCAGUAUAUUGUCCAAAAUAAUAUCCAAAAGAGUUUUUCUUCAUACUUCAAAAAUUUUUAGUAGGCCUCUAAAAAAAAAGAACAAUAUUAGGGUAAAAAAAAAAAAAACAAAAGCACAUAUUAAAGCUUCUCUCCCUCUAACAUAAAAAGUUUAAGGUUAUACAAUGUACUUGAUUCAAGUGUGACAUUGAGGUACUUUCUUGAAACAUUCUUGUAGAGUUAAUCAUGGGAUAAGAAACACCCUCAUUGUCUCCAUGCUCUACGUUAUCUACUCCACUAAUUUCAUCCUCACUAGUGAACAACAUAAAUGUCCCACCUCUUUAGGUUCCUCCAUAGAACAACACCCUCAAACGAUCACCAACGCAUCUUCCACCAAUGAAAAAAAAACCCUUUCAUCUAUACUCAUUGAAGCAUUUUAUCAAACAGUACAACAUAAGACUACAUAAGAACUUAUAUGUCAAUUUUUUUGGAAAAAAAAAAAAAAAAAUUCAAGACCCAUAUGUAAACAGAAAAUUCAUAAAAUAAAAUGAAAAAAAGUGGGGAGAAAACCUUCUUGCAAAGUCAGAAGUUGAAAGCAGUGAAGAAAACUUUGUGGUUGGAGACAAUGGAGAGACAAUUUUAGGCGUUUUCCGACAAGACAAAGGUCAGUCUCGUUAGAACUGGUGAUGAUCGGCGAUGCUAGGCAGUGGCUGUCAAGGUUUGGAGUUGAGAGAGGGAAGAUGGAGGUGCCGGUGUGGUAUGGUGGUGCGAGAGAAACAGAGAGAGAUGAGAUUUGCUAUUUUGGAGAAUGGGAAAUGGAAGUGUGGCGGGAUAGUGAAAUUUGGUAUUUUCAAAACUGUUUACGUCCGGCAGCGUAGCUCCGGCGACGAUGCUAGGCAGUGGGCAGUGGCUAUGGAGGUUUGGAAGAGAGAGCAAUGAGAGAGCAGAGAUAGAAAAUUUUGAUUUUCAAAAAAAGGGGAAGUGUUGUUUUGAAUCGGCGGGCUUUGAAAAUUUAGGGGUUUUUUUAAAAAAUAACUAUAAAUUUCAAACUAUAUUAUUAGUUAGGCAAGGUUUGAAGCAUAUUUGGUUUAUAGCAAUUCGACUUUUCUGGAGUCGAUUUUACCCUUUGAAAAUCCACUAGGAAAUCGAGUUUCUAAAACUCGAUUUCCAAAAUCGAGUUUCUAACACUCGAUUUCCUACUAGAUUUUCAAAGGGCAAAAUCGACUCCAAAAAAGUCGAAUUGCUAUAAACCAAAUAUGUUUCAAACCUUGCCUAACUAAUAAUAUAGUCUGAGAGAUUUGGUUAUUUUUUAAUAAAAUCCGAAAAUUUAGAGUAUUUGUGUUUUUUUAUUUUAAAUAACCUUUGGUGAUGAGCUGUAAUUUUUAAUCCAUUGGUCAAAUUUUCAUUGGUCUUAGAAACUCCACAUGAGUGCUGAGCUGGAGUUUCUGAAACACAACAUACUUUCUCCUAAUUUUGGGACUAAAAUGGUGCUUGUUUUAACACUGCUUGGGCAUAUACUUCUGCAUAUCAUUUUUUUUUAGCAAUCAUAGAACCUUUAAAAAAAAAAAACUUCCUUUAUCAUCUUCAAUGCUAAUGUUUUAUGCAAUUAUUUCCGAUUCCAUAUGAAGAAUUUAUAGGCACACUAAAGAGAAAUGAAUAGAAGUCAAAGGGAAACAAGGGAGGAUUGCCCAGGCAAUUUAGGCUAAAAAAAAAUCCUAAACCUCAUAUCAUGUGAAGUGAAGCUAAUUGUGUUGGUUGGGUCGAUGGGAGGAACAAACUCAAAUCAUCCCUUGAACAGAUUGGGUAAUGGCAAUAUUUUGGUUUCUAGGCCUAUAAAUUGAUUGUUCUAUAGCUAAACUUGGAUUAACAGCUCAUCUUGAAAUUUCUUAGUUUAGAAAUGCACUACAUUAAUUUUUUUUUUUUUUUUUUUUAAAUCCCGGCGAAUUCAAAUAACUUAUUCUUUGGAAUUGGAGAAACCAAAAUUCAUGUGCAAGAAACAUUUUAGAAUGUUCUUUUUCUUACUUGACAUCAUGAUGUCAGGUGUGAUUAUGUGGGGAUUAUUCUAAAACUGCUCAGAUUUCACUGAGGAUCAUCCAAAUAGACAAGUUUAAGAGUUGGUGUUUCUUCAAAAUAAGCUGGUACUACUCAUUCAUCUACAAUCCUUAUGUUGAAAUAUCUUUCCUCCUAAGAGUCACAUUGAGAAUCCUUAUCUUGUUAUUUCCUAUUUGCAGAUUUAGUUAAUCCCAUAUGACUUCGAGUCUUCAAUUUUGAAUGCAAUAUACUACAGAUAUUACAAGCUCCACAAACUACAUCAUCUUAUUAUUAUUAUAAUCAUUAUUUCUUUUGUUGAAAUUAUUUUCGAUGCUAAUACUCAGAAUCAGUCAUUUGCUCAUAUCAGAAUAUUAAUAAGGUAAUCAAUUAUUUAUUUAUUUUUCUUACCGCAGGUUGGCCAUGAGCGUCACUUUGAUGCAUUUUUUUUCAGUAGCUCUUUUGAUAACAAUAUUUGUAAAGCCUCUGCUUGUAAAGCUUGUAUCUAUUUAUUUGUUGCUUUUGCCUUUUAGUAAUCCUAAAACUUAUGAAUGUGUAUUAGUUGGUCAACAAAGCCAUUGGAUUCAUGGGAUGCAAAAGUACUUGAUUCAACUUACUACAGACAAUAACAGGAUACCGGUUUUAAGAUUCAUAGGCUGAGUAGCUGUUGUCUUGGGUAUAUUUGUGAUUGUUCCAUCAAGACAGAUUACAUUAAAAAGUCUCGUUUGGGUAUAUUUGUGAUUUCCUUUCAUCUUUGACGUAGACUUGACCCCUUAAGUCGCAUUCCAUAAAAUAACAAUGCCUUCUUGGAUAAUUAGAUCUAUUACAUUUAAAAAAAAAAAAAAAAACUAUAUAAAUUUGAAGCUUUGUAUGCUCAAUUACAGGAAUUCAUUCCCGCUGAUAAAAAGGUUUUCAAAUAGAAUGCCUCAUUAUAACAAAGAAAAAAACUGUAGCUAGCAUUUGGGGGAAAAAAUGGUUUUAAAUAAAUGUGUUGCCCUAGGCAUCUUAGUGCCUUAAAGAUUAGCCGAUUAGGUGUAAGGACUUCAAGGUUGAGAUUAGGCUUAAGGAAUAGGUAGAUAUGGUUAAAAUCUCUGCAGAACAAUGCAAACAAGAUAGCAAGGAAAAAAAAAAGACAUGAGACAAGAUUGCCUCAGAAUCAUAAGAAGGCCUUUUUAGAGUUUCACUCGGUUGCAACCACUUAAAAUUCUAAAUUAUCCAUGUCUUGCUUACUUAAAUGAUAAAUGGCCAUACCAUCUGCUAUAGCUUCUUUCUUUUUCCUUUUUCUUUUUUGCUGCUGAUGUUUUGGAAAAUUGAUGUGCAAUUUGAAUAUGCAGAAACAGUUUGAAGCACAAAGAAAACAUUUAGAAGGAAGCCAGCAGGAAACAGGGGAAGAUUGCUAAAAAUUGCUCACAUCUUGGAGUUUGGAGGGAAUGAAGCUACCCAUCAGGUCUAUGAUUAAUUAUUUAUCCCAUUCUUCUUAGAAACUCCUCUGCUAUUUUCUUUUGAUGGGUAAGAUUUCAGUUGAUCUCAUAUGCAAAAACCGAGGCAUAGGAAAAACCUAGCGUUCUACUUGUAUUUAAAAUGGAAGAAGAGUGCAUAUAUGGCAUCUAUACGUUAGGUUUACAGUCCUUCACAUUUGUUUGAACAUGUACCUAUGCUUUGGCCUGUUAUGGCUCUCUAGACUCCUAUCUGAUGGUGAGCAAUGUGUGGUAUGUUUGAUUCAUCUGAUACUCUUUUAGGAUAAUUAAAAACCAUUGAUAUCUCUCUCUCUCUCUCUCUCUCUCUCUGUGCAUAGAGGUGACCAUCAAAUGUAUGUUCUGAAGUAAUCAUUAUUGUUUGUUCAGUAAUAUCAAGAUCAGUUUUUCUUCUCAUGCUCUUAUGAGUUAUGACCUCUAGUUUGUGAUCAACUAGACUUAGUCGUUGGUUCACAUUUAUCUGUUUAUUUCUAAGUGGACUCUUGACUUUUACAUAACUAGCCAAGUCUUCCUUCUUCACAGCCACUUUAAUCUUCCUCCUCCAAUAUUUCAAACUACUCUCUAUCAGCUUGCUACGUUUUCUUUCACCCGACAAGAACAAAUGGCCGAUGCAAUCAUGUAUGGCGUUGUACGGAAGAUCAUUGAAAGCUUGGGCUCCUCCACCCUCAAACAGAUUGGAUCGAUCUGGGGUGUCAAAGACGAUCUCGAAAAAAUGAACAACACUGUUCUCACUAUUCAAGCUGUACUUCAGGAUGCAGAGGAGCAGCAGGUCCAGAACCACCAAGUCAAGCACUGGCUCAACAGGCUCAGAGAUGUAGUUUUUGAUGCGGAUGACUUGCUAAGCGAGUUCUCCACUUAUGUGUUUCGGCGUAAGGUGAUGGGGUAUUUUCUUUUCAAGAUCAAACCAACUUGUUUUUAGUUUUAAGAUGGCUUGCAAAAUAAAGGCUACGAGGGAGAAGCUUAAUGAUAUAGCAACUGAUUGGAAAAAUUUUCACUUGAAGUUGGUAGAGCGUCCUUUAAAGACACAGGAUGUGACUAGGGACAGGGACCCAACUUGCUCAUAUAUAGGCGAAGAAGAAGUUAUUGGGAGAGAAGAGGAUAGGAAGGCCAUCAUAGAUCUAUUGUUGGACUUUGAUGUGAAAGACAAUGUCUCAUUCAUAUGCAUAGUGGGGAUUGGAGGGUUAGGGAAAACCACACUGGCUCAAUAUGUAUACAAUGAUAAAAAUGUGGAGGGUUAUUUUGAGUUGAAGAUGUGGGUGUGUGUAUCUGAUGACUUUGAUGUUAAAAAAAUUGUUGAAAAGAUAAUUGAAUCUGUGACUAAAAGAAAACCUGAGAAUCUUGAGAUGGAUCUAUUGCAAAAUAAGCUUCGGGAACAACUCUACCAGAAGAAGUACUUACUUGUAUUGGAUGAUAUUUGGAAUGAGAAUGAAGAGAGGUGGUGUGCAUUGAAAAGACUUUUGAUGGGUGGUGCAAAGGGAAGUAAGGUGGUGAUAACUACACGAACCAACAUGGUUGCGGAGAUUACUAGUGCUAUCUCACCGUAUUUUCUAAAAGGCCUGUCAAGGGAUCAAUCCUGGUCAUUAUUGAAGAAAAUGGCAUUUAAAAAAGGCCAGGAGACCAUCAAUUCUAACCUCGAAGCAAUUGGGAUGGACAUAGUAGAAAAAUGUCAAGGAGUGCCUCUUGCUAUAAGGACGAUAGGGAAAGUCUUAUCCUUCAAAGAAACUGAAGAUGAGUGGUUAUACAUCAAGAAUACUAAACUCACAAAUGUAACUCAAUUAAAAGAUGGUAUCAUGCCGGUUUUAAAAUUGAGUUACGAUUAUCUCCCAUCACAUUUAAAAUGUUGUUUUGCAUAUUGUUCAUUGUUUCCCAAAGAUUAUUUGAUCGAUAAGUUGACAUUGAUACAAUUAUGGAUAUCACAAGGUUUUAUCCAAUCAACAGAGGAGAGCCAUCAACUAGAGCGUGUUGCCAAUGACUACUUCAUGGAGCUACUUUGGAGAUCCUUCUUCCAAGGAGGAGAAGAAGAUAGAGGCAUGAAUAGGAGGAGGUUUAAAAUGCAUGAUUUAAUCCAUGAUCUUGCACAAUAUGUAUCAGAGACUGAUUGUAUAUUGGUUGAUACCAGUGCAAAAAAUGUGAUCAAAAAAGGACACCAUCUAUCGUUUCCAUUUUACAAUUUUUCAUUCUUUGAGGAGAAUUUAAGCACGUUGGUUAAAGCAAACAAGAUACGAACAUUUAUAUUGGCAUACAAUUAUUGGAUCUAUGAUCAUGGAACAAUUGAAGAAUCAACACUCAAAAUACUUAUUUCUACUUUUAGAUACUUGCGUGCAUUAGAUCUACAUGGAUUAAAUAUGAAGAUGUUGCCAAAUACCAUAGGUACUUUGAUGCAUCUAAAGUACCUUGACCUUUCCUCUAAUGAUAUUGAGGUUCUCCCUAGUUAUAUUACUAAAUUGGUGAAUUUGCGAACAUUAAACCUCUCUAAAUGUAGAAGGCUUCGGGAGUUACCAACUGACAUUCAAAAAUUGGUCAGCCUCAAGCACCUUGACAUAGAAGAUUGUGAGAAUGUGACUCAUAUGCCAUGUGGAUUAGGGCAAUUGACUUCUCUUCAAACAUUAACCUUAUUUGUUGUGAGUAAGGGCCCUCCAAGUUCUUCCAAGCAUUGUGUUGGGCUAGCGGAAUUAAACAAGCUAAAUGGCUUGAGAGGAAAAUUAAAGAUUAAAAAUUUGGCACGGUUGAAAGAUGCCACCCCAGAAUUUAAGGCUGCAAAUUUGAAGGAUACUGAUAGGCAACAUCUCAGUGAGUUGGAAUUAAACUGGAAUCCAGAGAGUGAUGAUGGUGUAGAUGCCAGUGAUGAUGAAAAUUCCAUGGAUAGCCUCCGACCACCCAAAAGUUUAAAAUCUUUGACAGUGGUCGGGUACAUGGGUGUGAGAGUUUCAAGUUGGCUUUCAUUCUUAACAAAUCUCGUUCAAUUAAGUAUACUCAAUUGUAAGAAGUGCCAAUAUUUGCCACCGUUGUAUCAACUCCCAUCUCUCCAAAGACUAGAUAUUAGCGCUAUGGAUGGUCUGGAGUACAUGACAGACGGGGAUAUGAAUGAUGAGAUAUCUGCUUCACUGGCAUCACCAUCAACAUUUUUCCCGUCCCUUGAGACACUGAUCCUUAGUACUUGCCCAUAUCUAAAGGGAUGGUGGAGGAGUGUGGAUAAGGGGAAUGAGGCAACAAUAUCAUCAUCAUCAUCAUCAUCAACUAAUCACUAUCACCAACACAUGCCGUACUUUCCGCGUCUUUCUUCUUUUAAUUUAUGGGAUUGCCCUAAGAUGACUUGGAUGCCGCUAUUUCCAAAUCUUGAAGAAGUGCUUAUUUUGUGGAAUAGUAGUUGGAAGGCAUUGGAAGAGACAAUAGAGAUGAAUAAUAGGGGAGGAAGGGCUUCUUCAUUUCCGUCCUCUUCCUCUUCCUCCUCCUUCUCCCCUCCUCUCUCCAAAUUAAAGCAUUUGACUUUGUAUGAGAUGCAAGAGUUGGAGUCUCUGCCAGAGGAGUGGUUUAAAAACCUAACUUCUCUUGAGAGAUUAGAGAUUUGGAAGUGUCCCAAUCUGACAUCACUUUCCGAAGGGAUGAGUCACCUCACCUCCUUACAGGCCCUGUCUAUCUACAAUUGUCCCAAUCUGACGUUACUUCCCGAAGGGAUGAGUCACCUCACCUCUUUACAGAGGCUGGAAAUAAUAGACUGUCCCCAAUUAAAGCAAAGAUGCGAGAAGGAAAAUGGAGAGGAUUGGGAUAAGAUUUCUCACAUCCCAAAUCUUGAGAUAGAUUGAACUACUGCAUACGCUUCCCUGGUAUGUUCUUCACUCUUCUCUGAAUUUUUUUUUUUUUUUUUUUUUUUUGUAAUUCUAGACGCAAUAUUUUUAAAGCUCAAACAAAACCAAAAUUAAAAAACUCUAUAAUUUCUCGUAUGAACUAAUGAACUUUUCCACACACAAAUUAAAAAACAGAACUUUUCGUUUUCUUUUUCCCAAUUUCUUUUUCUUCUCUUAGAUAUAGUCUGGGCCUCAUUAUCUGGGUUUCUGAAUGUGUGAUUGAUACUGAAAUUGCAGAAAGAACGAGAGGAUUUCAAAUGGGAAGAAGAAAGCGUAAGUAUUAUAUAAGCAAAACUCUACAUUUCUUUAAUUUGUUUUGAUUUUAGUUGUUUUUAUGUAAAAAUAUGAAAUUUUAUAUAAAUCUUUUCUGGGUUUCAUUUAAAAUAGACAUUUUUUUUUCUUGCUGGGUUCCAUUUUAUGGGCAUGUUUGCAGUUAUUCUUGACGUUUCAGAAGUUGGUACACAAGAUUCUUCUAGACAAAAAUGGCUGAUUCAGACAUGGAUGAUGAUAAUGACAAAAAAGUAGCACCGGUGCUUUUUUUUUUUUUUUUUUUUUUUUUUUUUUUUUUUUUUUNAUUGUGGCUUUCUACUUCUUCAGUGUGCUAGAACCCCUGUUUCAACCUUCUCUUGGUAAACAAGAGUUGGCAUGUGAAGAAAAAUAUUGACCUAUUGUGUCUACUGGCAAAACUAAAAUUUUAUAGUUUACAAUAAUAGCUUGGUUCACAUGGGUACAAGAAAAUAUUUUGAAUUAUUGAACUAAUGAAUUAAGGAGGGGCAUACUAUCUAUGGCAAGAUUAAUGUUACUGUGUGUUUUAGGUAGUAUUUCCUUUUUUAAUGUCCCUGUAGUACUAAACUUGCUUGUACCUUCUUGCUUUUGUGUUGCAAUAUAAAUCCACAGACCAUUUCCAAUGAUUUCAGUGUAUCAUACACUUGAUUGUACUGUUUGAAGAAGAGAUUGCGAGUUGGUCACUACUGACAUCAGGCAUCUUACUGCACUAAUAAUUAGGUUUAAGGAUUUCUAGGUUGAGAUUGGGCUUAAAUAAUCACUGGAUAUGGUUAUAAACUCUGGAGAACAAAUGCAAAAAGGAUAGUUUAAAAGAAGAGGAAGAAAAAAAAAAAAAAAAACAAAGAGAGAGAGACGGAGAUAAGAUUGCCUCAGAAUCAAAAGAAGGCCUUUUUAGAGUUUCAGCUAGAAAAUAAUUACUAGAAUCCCUAUUGUUAGUAGGUGCAGCCACUUCAAAUUCUUAAGUAUCAAUGUUUUUAAUUAUUUAUCCAUAAUUUGCAUAAAACAUCUGCAUAGUGUUUUAUUUUAUUAUUUUUAUUUUUUUCUUCUAAUGUUUUGAAAAAAUUAAUUACUAUUUCUAUAUGCAGAGAUAUUUUGAAGCGCAAAGCAAACUUUUGAAAGGGUGUCAGCAAGAACAGGGGACGAAUAGUAAAAACUUCUCACAUCCUAGGUACGCGAUUAUUUGUUUAUUCUAUACUGUUUCCUUAUGAUGAGAAACAUCUCAGUUGAUCUCAUAUGCAGAACCAAUUGAUGCUUAUUCAAACUUUAGGGUUCUGUAAUUGUGCAACAAGUCAGCUAAUGAAGCAUAGGGAAAUCAUGGUUUUAUAGCCAAAAAAAAAAAAAAAAAACCUAUUUUGGUUGCAUCUAAGGAAGGGAAUUUGGAUCCUCUAUGAAUCAAAAAAUAAAAAAUCAUUUACCAGAAUGACCUCUCAAUUUGCCCAAAAAAGGUUGAAAAGGAAAAGUAAAAAAUUGUUACUUCUCCUUCAACAAGUCAUUUCUUCUUUAAUGGUAAUGUUCAUACUUCUGUCUCCCAUAACCUUGAAAACCUGACCACUCAAUGGCAGUGGCUUCGUGUAGCUUAUCAAUUUAUUUCAUGCGGGAUUUUUGAAAGAAAGUUGCACUGUUGUGUUUGUUGUAAUGUGGCCUUAUGGGGGAUCCCGUGGCAUCGGUGCUUUACAGCCCAACCAACUGAUGCAAGUCUACCAAUGCAUUGCAAAGCCCCUCAUGCCUGCUUGCAACACGUAUAGAUGUGGGGCUUUGCUCUGCUGCCAUUGGAUAAAGACUUUGAUGUACCUCUUCCUAACACCUUAAGGUUUUCAGAUCACUAGUUAGCAUUUAUGAUCCUAGUAAUAUUGGUUUGAAUUUUGAUGAUAGUUUUAUGAAUAUAUAGCUAACACUUGAAUAUUUUUUUAUCUAUCAGUAUAUUUUAUUGAUGUUUAUCAGAGUGGAGCUCUUUCUUUGUCUGUGUGUUUCUGUGUAAUUUUCUAUGAGUGCAUUUUUUUAUUCUAAUAUGCUCUUUGCUCUUUGCUCUUUUUCUAAAUUCAAGAGCAGCAUUUGUGAAUCUUAUAUUUGUUACAAAUUUUGUAGAGAGAGGCCUGUGAACUGUGAAGGUUUGAGAAGAGUGUGAUUUCCAAGUGUAGUGGUUCCAAGCGGAAACCUUCUGAAACAGGUUUCAUCAUGGGCAUUGAAUUUGAGAAACAAGACAGCGACAUCAUUUCAAAUUUUCUUGAAUUAUUGGGCUUUGAUGAUUUAAUUGGUUUCAAAAGUUCUAUGGAAGAAGAAUGUCAUGAUAUUGAUGAGGCAAGCUUGUGGUAUAGGAGGAGAAUUGGGUCAAAGAUGAUGGGAUUUAAAGAGAAGACAGCCCCCUCAUGACUGCUACCAUGUUUGAAAGCAAGGGUGUGUUGAAUUAUAUUCUGGAAACCAGUUUUAUUGAUGUUAACCAGGCUUCUGGUUUGGACGGGUUUUCUGCACUUCAUUUUGUUGCUGCUGUGGACUUCGCUAUUUAAGGUGAGGUUAUUAAACUCUUGCUUGAAGCUUUCUGCACUUCAUUUUGUCUUGUUGCAUACUGUUGAUUAUGUACACACCUUGUUCAUUUUAAUCUUGCUAUUUCUUUUCUCUAUAGUAAAUGUAUUUAAAUAAUAUAGUGUAAUAGAACAUGUAUUGGUGUGGAUUUGAUUUCUAUAGUCAUGCAUUUUGAUAUGCAUGACAGGAGUGCAAUGGUUGGUGACAUAAAAUUAUUUUUUUAAUAAAUUCCUUCUUUUGUUUUAAUAAAAAAUAAUCUCUUUCCCUCUUCCUCAUAAGAUAAGAGAUGCUGUAGCAAAAAGAGGUGGGGAAGAAGGGGGGNNNNNNNNNNNNNNNNNNNNNNNNNNNNNNNNNNNNNNNNNNNNNNNNNNNNNNNNNNNNNNNNNNNNNNNNNNNNNNNNNNNNNNNNNNNNNNNNNNNNNNNNNNNNNNNNNNNNNNNNNNNNNNNNNNNNNNNNNNNNNNNNNNNNNNNNNNNNNNNNNNNNNNNNNNNNNNNNNNNNNNNNNNNNNNNNNNNNNNNNNNNNNNNNNNNNNNNNNNNNNNNNNNNNNNNNNNNNNNNNNNNNNNNNNNNNNNNNNNNNNNNNNNNNNNNNNNNNNNNNNNNNNNNNNNNNNNNNNNNNNNNNNNNNNNNNNNNNNNNNNNNNNNNNNNNNNNNNNNNNNNNNNNNNNNNNNNNNNNNNNNNNNNNNNNNNNNNNNNNNNNNNNNNNNNNNNNNNNNNNNNNNNNNNNNNNNNNNNNNNNNNNNNNNNNNNNNNNNNNNNNNNNNNNNNNNNNNNNNNNNNNNNNNNNNNNNNNNNNNNNNNNNNNNNNNNNNNNNNNNNNNNNNNNNNNNNNNNNNNNNNNNAUCUUUAGGUUUUUUUUUUUUUUUUUUUCAAUUUUCUUAUAAUUGUUUUAACAUUUAUGUUUUUAAUAUUUACAUUUCUUCAACCUUUCUCUCUCCCUUACCAUUUCAUCUCCCCACUACUUCUUCAAUCUUUCUCACUCCCUUACCUUUUCAUCUCCCCACUACCCUCUACAUUAAUAUCAUUCUUCCUCUUUCCCUUCAUCUUCUUUUAUUUUUGUCUCUUCUUAUUCACACCCUCUUACUAUAAAUUUGUCACUAUCUCUUCUAUUCUAUGCAUAGUUUUUCCUCACAAAAAAAAUGGUACUCUCUCUCUCUCUCUCUCUCUCUAAAUUUUUUGGUGGAUUUUUUUUUUUUUAUUACAUCUCUACUUUAGGUUGAUAAUUUUUUAUAUUCUUUAAAACUCUAUUUUGGGUUAAUGCGAUUUAGUUUUGUUUUUUAAAUUGUUGUUGUUUUUUAUUCUCUUUGAUUGUUAAAUGUUAUCCUAUUGCGAUCUAAAGAAUUAAAUAUAGCGUAUAAAAAUAUAAUAUUAUUCUAUUGCAUAACAUGAUUUGGAUAAUUUGGUAUUUAUUUUGUUACAUAGCAUGAUUUUUUAUAAUGCUCAAUUAGGAUGUUAAACUAUGAGACUUUACUAAUUUUUGUUUAUUUUCUAAUCCUUUGUGGUGGACAAAGUAGUUUUAAUAGUUGUAUUAGAAGUACUCUAUAAUGCCAUUCAUUUAAAGAAAAGCAAAGGUUAGCCAAACGAAAAUAAUCAGAUAGGUGACAAAUUGCAAAAGUUAAAAUUUGUAUAUAUACAAUAAUUGUUUAUUUGAUAAUAUGUUUUGGGUGGCCAAAAUUAUAAUUUCUACAAAGAAAAUAACUUUAAUAGAUUAUCAAAAACAAAAUUUUAUCCUAAUAUUGGUUCAAUUAAUCAUUGUUAAGUUUUAUUAAUUUUUUUUAGUUUACAUUUUUUUGGUGUUUUAGAUUGUUCCUAUGUUACAUAUAUGAUUGUUCCUAUAAUAAAUAAAAAUAUAAUUACGAAAUGCAUUACUCAUUAUUAGAUUAGUUUAAAUUGUAAAAAAUAAAAAUUAAUAAAACCACCAUAAAAAUAAUUAUCACGCGCAACGCGCGGGUCCGCGGCUAGUUAGUUUAAUAACUGGUGGAUUCAUAGACGAACAUGUGGCAUCUUAUGUAUCAUGGACAAUAAGAAUUGGUGAUAUGAACCCAUGGCUGCCAAAAUAGCAAAGUUUAAGGAAUCAAAAUAGCAACCCUAUUUCAGUUCGGCUAAAAAUUUACCAGGCAAAAACUUUAACUUCUUUCAAACGGUCCUAACUUUUUUCUAAUAUAAAAACCAGUUGUGUAACUCUUUAAUAAUUGUCAGAUAAAUAAAUAAUUAGUUUUUGAGUAUUGGAGGUCAGGAUUUUCUCAAAUUAACCUUAUCUUUUCUUAUUUUAAUCUUUGUAAUCUAUCCAAAGCCAGCCAACACUGGCAAGGACGCAGUCCUAUAUGUACCAAAGUGGUAUUAGAGUGUGAGGAUGGACAAAAGAGUGUAGUUUAACAAAAUGUCAGUUCUCUCAUGACUAAGUCAGCAAUAAAUGCUUGAGAGAAUCACAGAGAUUUAAGCUUGCGGCACUCUCUUCCACAGGAAAGGAUGGAGAAGCGCAAUAUGCUGCUUCUAGGAAGCACUCAGAGGGAAGAGGACGGCAAGAGGGAAAUCACUGUGAUCGUGCCAUGUAUUGUAGAAUAAGAUGGAGAAGUCAUUAUGGAUUUAGAGCAAACAGAUGAGCAAGAAACACCAGGUAUCUCACUGCAUGCCAUUAGUGGUGACCAAUGCACCCAAGGCAAUGAAGGUAUCUGGUUGAAUUAAUUAAUAAGUCUUGUUUGGAAUGUGGCACUUACAUAACAUGGAUUUUUUUUUGUCUUUGAUGUAGUCUUGACCUCUUAAGGAUAGUUAGCAUAUCAUUAAAUCAUAAUGCCUCCUUAGACGAUUAGAUGUUUUAUAUCUGUUGAAAAAAUAAAUUAAAAAUAAUAUAAUUUUGGAGCCUUUUAUUCACAAGUACAGGAAUUCAUUUUUCUGAUUAAAAAAUUUUAUAAUUGAAUGCCUCAUAAAAGCAAUGAAUAUAACAAUAGCUUGCAGUUAGGGGAAAACAAAUGGUACUAAAGAAAUGUGUUACCUGCUUUAAUUAGAUCGUAAACAAGUCCCUUGUUUUCUAUGAACUUCUUGUUUUUAUGUCCAUCAGUGUCAUGAAAUCUGGAGUGCCCCUUGUGGAAAAAAAUUUUGCCUUGGGAAAAAAUUUUUGCAAGUUAAAAAUGAACACCAAAACUUUCUUUCUCCAAUGUUCUCUAGAAGAAGUUAUUCAGAACCCAGGAAAAAAAAAAAUCCAACUUUGGUUCAAAUUGAAGGUGGUGAUAUUUCCCUUUUCCUCUAGAAUUUUGAAAUUGGUUUCCGUUGAUUAACUAGAGCAUUGGAGAAAGCUUCAGCUUUUUCCUCCUCACAGGGGAAUGUGCCAUUGAUCAGACUACUUACACUACUGAGUUUGUGAGUUUUAUAUUAAAGGACUGGAAGGAUACGAUCAAUUCGUUGGGAAGGAAAAGAAAGAAAAGAAUUUGUAGUGUCCAUUUUAUUGUGUUGUUCUGUCCUCGGUUUUUUUUUUUUUUUUUACAAGUUGGUAAUAUUUUCCUGUCAUAUCAAUCUUUUUCAACAACUAUGAAUACCACAAAAAUUUAUGGAGGUCAACCCAAUUAGUUAGAGAAAUCAUGUGUUCUGAAUAUAAGAUGAGGUAAAUUGAUGGUCGAUGAGGAACAACCAAUCAAGGUGUUUGUCAUUGAGUGAUCUUGGAAUUUUUUUUACUUCUUGUGUUCCAUUUUAAGUUAAUAUUAGAUUUGUAUGUGGUAUGUUUGCAGCUAUUUUUGACAUCUGACAGGUUGGUACGUAAGAUUCUUCCAGACAACGGAUCCAUUUCAUACAUGGAUGACAAUGAAGAGAAAAAAAAAAAAAAAAAAAUAGCACUGGUGUGGUUUUUCUUCUCCAAGUUGGGUUUUUUUUUUUUUCGUCCUCUCUUUGGCUAAGCUUAUGUUCAUAAUUCGAGUACUUCUGUGUUUGCCAAAAUUAUUAUGGUUUACAGUAUAUUUGAUGAAGACAUGAAGUUUUUUAUUAUUGUAAUAAAGCAUUACUUAUUAAUUUACAGAAGGGGGGAGAAUUAGCUCACAUACAAACCUGCUCCUUUCCUGUGUUAUUCUUUCUUAUUUUCCACUUGAGUUCAAUGGCAUAUUUUGCACCAGUUGGCAUGGUACUAUCUUGAUAAGCUUUAGCAUCAUUAGGAUUACAAACUUGCUUAUUUCUCCUUGCUUAGGUGUUGCACUACGAAUCCACAGACCUUUUCCUAUGAUUUGGGGUAUCAUUAACUUGAUUGUACCGGUUGAAGAAGAGAUUGCGAGUCGGUCAUUAAUGACAUCAGGAAUCUUACUGCAAAAAUGAUUAGGUUUAAGCAUUUAAAGGUUGAGAUUAGGCUUAAGGAAUAGCUAAAUGUGCUUAGAAACAUUGUAGAACAAAUGCAAAAAGGAUAACACGGAAGAAGAGGAAGAGAGAGAGAGAGAGAGAAUAUUGCCUUGGAAUUACAAGAAGGCCUUUUUGGAGUUUUGACUACAAAAUAAUUGCAAGAAUCUUAUUGUCAGUUGGGUGCAACCACUAAAAACUCUUAAUUAUUCAUAUCUUGCUUACAUAAAUGGCGAUAAUAUCUGCAUAGUGCUUAUAUUUCUGCUGAUAUUUUGGACGAUUUAUUUACAAUUUCAUUUUUGAUAUGCAUAAAUAUUUUGAAACACUCAAAAAAAAAAAAAAAUUAAAGGGCGCCAGUAGGUAACAGAGGACAAUUAGUAAAAAUUGCUCACCUAGAGUUUGGAGGGAAUGAACCUGUCCAUCAGAGUUGGUGCUUUUUCAAAACUUUAGGGCUCUGUAAUUGUGCAACAAGCCAGCUAUUGAAGCAUAGGGAAAUCAAGGUUUUAUAGCUUACAAUCGUAGCUUGGUUCAAAGAGUUGAAAUUAUAAGAGUAAUGAACAAAGGAGUAUAUAUAUGACAAAAUAAAGGUUAUAUUGUCUUCUAGUUUCCAUCCAAAGGUGACUCCUUUCCUGUCAUCCUUAGAGUUCUAAAAUUUAAGAUUUCUUCUUGAUUUUGUGUUGCGUUAAAGAUUUAUAGGCCUUUCCCAAUGAAUUUGGAUCUCAUAACAGUGAUUAUAGUUUUAGAAGAAAAGAAUGUGAGUUGGUAUUAAACGGCAUCUGGCUUUGUUCUACCACAAUAAUCAGAAGUGUUAAGGAUUUUAAAUUUGAGAUUGGGCUUGAGGAGUAGCUGGUUCUGGCUAAAGUUCUGCUGAGCAAAGACAUAUAUAUGUGUGUGUGUGUGGGGUAGUUGUAGUGCGUCUAGAUUCCUGAAUAAUGGUCCUUCACUUUUGUCUCUGCAUUUGUUCAAAUAUGUUCUUAUGUUGUGGCCUGUUAUAUCACUCUAGACAUAAUGUUGUAAGUACUUGGUAAUUAUGUUCCGAUGCUUUGGGCUGUUAUGUCUAUUUAGACUCAUGUCCCUAGAUUUGUUCAUUAUCAUAUGUUUUUAUUUUGUCACCAGUAUUUAUUCUCAUGCUCUAAUGUCCUCCAUUUUGAGAUCAACUUGAGCUUUGGUCGAUUAAAAAUCUUAACUCUAGUACAGGUAUCUCUUAUUAUUGUAGGUAAUUUUAGCUUUACAUAAGAAAUUACAGCAAAAUCUGCUGGAGCUACCGGCAUGGAUUUUGUGUCCAAGAAAUUGAAGAAGAAAUAUAACAUCACCAGCAUGAAGCUGCUUAUACAUGGGCAGAUUCUAUAAAUGGAUGGGAGUUCCUUCCUAUGCAUUCAAGUGCAAGAUAUGCACAUUAUGUUACAAACAUGUAAGCAUGAAUUACAAUUUUCCCUACUCAAUUGAUGAUCUUGCAAUGCAUUCAAUUCUUUCUUCUUGGUUGGCUUUAUAAUUAACACAAAUGAGUGGCGUGUAUUAGAGAUCUUUCCAUCUUGUUCUCCAGUGGGGAGAAAGUACUUCAAUUUAGCUACAAAAUGCACUUGCAUGAUAUAGAUACAGAUACAUGUAUAAGAGUAAAAAUUUUAUUUUUCCAUUUGAGUUCGUAGUUAGGUGUUGCCUUUGUCUCAAUUAAUAAGUAGGACUUAUUUCCAUAAAUCAUUUUUUUUUUUAAAUCAAAAAAUCAUCUGUUCUCACCAAAGGAAAUUAAUCUAAAAAUAACAUGAGUGCAUCUUUUGUUUCUAAUUUGCACUUGCUCUUUUUCUUUUUAGUAGACAGUAAUAGCAUUUGUGAAUAUUAUACUUGGUUCAAUCUUUGUAGAGAGAGACUGUGUGAAUGUCUGAGAAGAGUGUGAUUUCUAUCUGCAGUGAUUACGUGCAGAAACCUUUUGAAACAAGGUUUCAUCAUGGGCAGUGA